GACGAACGCUGGCGGCGUGCUUAACACAUGCAAGUCGAACGGAAAGGCCCUGCUUUUGUGGUGUGCUCGAGUGGCGAACGGGUGAGUAACACGUGAGUAACCUGCCCUUGACUUUGGGAUAACUUCAGGAAACUGGGGCUAAUACCGGAUAGGAGCUCCUGCUGCAUGGUGGGGGUUGGAAAGUUUCGGCGGUUGGGGAUGGACUGGCGGCGUAUCAGCUUGUUGGUGGGGCAGUGGCUUACCAAGGCUUUGACGGGUAGCCGGCCUGGGAGGGUGAACGGCCACAUGUAGACUGAGAUAGGGCCCAGACUCCUACGGGAGGAAGCAGUGAGGAGUAGUGCGCAAUGGGCGGAAACCUAAUUCGGCAACGCCGCGUGCGGGAUGACGGCCUUCGGGUUGUAAACCGCUUUCGCCUGUGACGAGGCGUAAGUGACGGUAAUGGGUAAAGAAGCACCAGCUAACUACGUG
rnacentral:rRNA from 1 species